rnacentral:misc_RNA from 1 species
GAUGAAGAACGUAGCGAAAUGCGAUAACUAAUGUGAAUUGCAGAAUUCAGUGAAUCAUCGAAUCUUUGAACGCACAUUGCGCCCGCCAGUAUUCUGGCGGGCAUGCCUGUUCGAGCGUCAUUUCAACCAUCAAGCCCUGCUUGCGUUGGGGUCCUGCGGCUGCCCGCAGGCCCUGAAAACCAGUGGCGGGCUCGCUAGUCACACCGAGCGCAGUAAUACAUCUCGCUUUGGGCGUGCGGCGGGUUCUUGCCGUUAAACACCCCCUUUUUACCAAGGUUGACCUCGGAUCAGGUAGGAAUACCCGCUGAACUUAAGCAUAUCAUAAGCGGAGGA